AGAGUUUGAUCCUGGCUCAGAUUGAACGCUGGCGGUAUGCCUUACACAUGCAAGUCGAACGGUAGAGGAGCAAUCCUCGAGAGUGGCGAACGGGUGAGUAAUACAUCGGAACGUGCCCAGUCGUGGGGGAUAACGUAGCGAAAGCUACGCUAAUACCGCAUACGACCCGAGGGUGAAAGCGGGGGACUCGCAAGAGCCUCGCGCGAUUGGAGCGGCCGAUGGCAGAUUAGGUAGUUGGUGGGGUAAAGGCCCACCAAGCCUGCGAUCUGUAGCUGGUCUGAGAGGACGACCAGCCACACUGGGACUGAGACACGGCCCAGACUCCUACGGGAGGCAGCAGUGGGGAAUUUUGGACAAUGGGCGAAAGCCUGAUCCAGCCAUACCGCGUGCGGGAAGAAGGCCUUCGGGUUGUAAACCGCUUUUGUCAGGGAAGAAAUACUUCGGGCUAAUACCCUGGGGUGAUGACGGUACCUGAAGAAUAAGCACCGGCUAACUACGUGCCAGCAGCCGCGGUAAUACGUAGGGUGCAAGCGUUAAUCGGAAUUACUGGGCGUAAAGCGUGCGCAGGCGGUUCUAUAAGACAGAUGUGAAAUCCCCGGGCUC
rnacentral:rRNA from 1 species